CUGUGCACUAUUUCCGGCUGCGCGUCCACCACCAUACCCUUAUCCCUAUCAUUUGAAUCAAUAUCCACCGUCUUCAUAUGGUCAACCUCCAACUUCCCAAGCCGGAAUUCAAGCCUCAUUCCCGGUACGUCCGUAUGCCCCUCCCCCACCUGCUGCGGACGGAAGUCAAGCUUCUUUCCAGAUACCUCCAUACGCCCUCCUCCAUAUGCUCCACCUCCGUAUGGAGUACCUCCUUAUGCUCCAUAUGCUCCACCUCCGUAUGGAGCACCUCAUCUAUAUGCUCCACCUACGUAUGGAGCACCUCCUCCAGUUGCACCUUUAUCUGUUGGAUCUGAAAACCAAGCUGAGGAAAAUCCCGUGCCGAAGGAAAAGCGUCCAAAGAGGCUAGAGUGGACGAAGGAAGACGAGGAAAAGCUGGUUAAUGCUUGGUUUAUGCAUUCUAAUGAUCCCAUCUCCGGCAACAAUAAGAGCGGAUCAAGUUUUUGGGGCCAAAUAGCGGCAACAUAUAACUCCACCUCCGACCCUAUCCGUCAUCGAACCGCCAAGCAACUUAAAGAUCAUUGGGUCACCUACAACUGGGAGGUGACCAAGUUCAAUGGAUUCUACCUCCAAGAAGAAAGGUUGCGUCAGAGCGGAGCUGACGAUGCAAUGGUCAUGGAUGCAGCAAUGGCGAGGUUCGAGGGUAAAAUGGGGCAUCCAUUUAAGCGCCAUCAUUGGUGGCAAGUUGUUCGCCACGAGCCCAAGUGGUCAGCAAAUCAUGGUCUUGGUAGUGGAUUUGAUUCGACUGCGAAUAAGAGAACCCGACUCGGAGUCUAUGGUGAAUAUAGUUCUGGAGGCACUGAAGACACCGAGGAGGAAGUGCCCCGACCAGUGGGGCGUGAUAGGGCAAAGGCGGCUGCGCGAAAGACAAAGACGAAGGGGAAAGGGAAGGAAGCCACGACCAACGAAUCAACAAGUGAAGCAUUCAAAAUGAAGAACUUGUGGGGUGGAUUAGUGAAGGCCAAGCUUUUGAAGCAAUGGAACAUCCUAAAGGGCCGAUCAACCAGAGAUAUGGACCCGGCUGAAAGACGUACCCAUGGCAGGGCCGUAAAGAUGGUCGAAAAAGAACUUGGUCUGCUAGAUGACGAAGAAAAGGAACCGGAAGCGGAACGUGAAGAGGAGGAAGAUGAGGAUGAGAUCGAGGAGUCCGAUUAG
rnacentral:misc_RNA from 1 species